ACCGUGCUUUGGAGGAAUGUAUUAAAACCGAACUGCUACAGCAAAGACUAGCAUGGCUCCUGCUGCAAUGAUGACAUACAAAUUCAUGAAGCAUUUCAUAUUAAG
ensembl:snRNA U6 U6 spliceosomal RNA